AAGUACUACUAAAUAUACAUUAUUUAUUAUAGACUAUAUUAUAGCCGAAUUGAAGUUGAUCCUAGUAUCAUAAGAGAAAUGAAUUAAUAUUAAACCUUAAGGGAAACAGAUUAUAAGAUAUAUAGAGGGUUGGUUCCUGUACUUUUUGUAUCAUGGUCUAUAAAGAAUUAAACCUAAAGGUUUUUCCUGAAGGCCUAGGAGCUACUGGGUUCUAGAGUAGGCUGUUUCAUAAGCUUUUUAGAAGGCCCGGUAGCAGCGAUAUACUUUUCGAAUGGGCGGAUAGCUGGUUGGUGUACAAACAUAUUUACGUAUGGCGAAUUCACAGUUUUUAUAAUAUAUAAAGGUUUGUCAGUUUAGUUAGGCCUUUGCGGUUCAGCGCGGAGGCGAAAUUGAUAUGGUACAUUGUUGAAGUAGGGUUUGUAGUGCCCACUUAUAAGUUUUAUUCAAAUUUGACUAUUUUUAUUUAUGAAACAUAUUAUAUAGCACCUUUUUUAACUGAUUUUGUUAGAUUAACUAGUAUAGAAUGAGUAUAAUUUAGUAUUUACUAAAAAUAUGAAACAUGAAUUUUUAAUUAAAUAUUAUUUGUAUUUCAAUUAUCUUAUUAUGUUUAAACCCUUAUUAGGAACUCGGCAAAAAUUUUCUACGCCUGUUUACCACAAACAUCUCUUUUCGAACUAGAUGAGAAGUAGGCCCUGCUCAAUGUAUUUAUAAAUAGCGGUUUUAACCUUAAUGUAGCGUGAUAAGUUGGCCUUUAAUUGGGGUCCAGUAUGAAUGGGUUGACGAUGGAAUAGCUGUCUUAUAGGGGCUCAUUAGAAAUUUUCUUUUUGGUGAAAAGACCUAAUUAAACUUAAUAGACGAGAAGACCCCGUCGAGCUUGAUUUAUUUCAAAUUGUUGUAAUUCGAAAGAACUUUUGUUGGGGCAACAACGGAGAAUAACCUCCGUUAAUUAAACGAAGAUCCAUAUAUUAUGAUAAAAGGAAAAAGUUACCGCGGGGAUAACAGCGCAAGAUUGCUUUAGAGAUCUUAUUGAAGGCAGUAAUUGCGACCUCGAUGUUGGAUUAGGGUUACUUUUUGGCGCAGAAGCUUAAACAGUGGGACUGUUCGUCCUUUAAAUCCUUACAUGAUCUGAGUUAGACCGGCGCGAGCUAGGUCGGUUUCUAUCUUUAACAACUAUUUGACUCAUGUACGAGAGGACCGAGUUGGGGAAGGAUUA
rnacentral:rRNA from 1 species